GAUGAACGCUAGCGACAGGCUUAACACAUGCAAGUCGAGGGGCAGCACAGGUAGCAAUACCGGGUGGCGACCGGCGCACGGGUGAGUAACGCGUAUGCAACUUACCUAUCAGAGGGGGAUAACCCGGCGAAAGUCGGACUAAUACCGCAUGAAGCAGGGGUCCCGCAUGGGGAUAUUUGCUAAAGAUUCAUCGCUGAUAGAUAGGCAUGCGUUCCAUUAGGCAGUUGGCGGGGUAACGGCCCACCAAACCGACGAUGGAUAGGGGUUCUGAGAGGAAGGUCCCCCACAUUGGGACUGAGACACGGACCAAACUCCUACGGGAGGCAGCAGUGAGGAAUAUUGGUCAAUGGCCGAGAGGCUGAACCAGCCAAGUCGCGUGAGGGAUGAAGGUUCUAUGGAUCGUAAACCUCUUUUAGAAGGGAAUAAAGUGCGGGACGUGUCCCGUUUUGUAUGUACCUUAUGAAUAAGGAUCGGCUAACUCCGUG
rnacentral:rRNA from 1 species